rnacentral:rRNA from 1 species
UGAGGAACAUGACCUUCGGCGGGGGAUAGCCGGCCCAACGGCCGGGUAAUACCGCGUACGACCACUUUGGGACAUCCCUGGGUGGUGAAAGCAGCAAUGCGCCGAUGGAGUGCCUCGCGGCCUAUCAGCUAGUUGGUGAGGUAACGGCUCACCAAGGCGACGACGGGUAGCUGGUCUGAGAGGAUGGCCAGCCACAUUGGGACUGAGACACGGCCCAGACUCCUACGGGAGCAG